rnacentral:rRNA from 1 species
AGGUGCGAUCAUACCAGCGUUAAUGCACCAGAUCCCAUCAGAACUCCGCAGUUAAGCGAGCUUGGGCUAGAGCAGUACUGGGAUGGGUGACCUCCCGGGAAGUCCUAGCGUUGCACCCU